rnacentral:rRNA from 1 species
AAUCUGCGAUAAGCGCCGGUAAGGUGAUAUGAACCGUUAUAACCGGCGAUUUCCGAAUGGGGAAACCCAGUGUGAUUCGUCACACUAUCAUUAACUGAAUCCAUAGGUUAAUGAGGCGAACCGGGGGAACUGAAACAUCUAAGUACCCCGAGGAAAAGAAAUCAACCGAGAUUCCCCCAGUAGCGGCGAGCGAACGGGGAGGAGCCCAGAGCCUGAAUCAGCAUGUGUGUUAGUGGAAGCGUCUGGAAAGGCGCGCGAUACAGGGUGACAGCCCCGUACACAAAAGCGCAUGUGCUGUGAGCUCGAUGAGUAGGGCGGGACACGUGGUAUCCUGUCUGAAUAUGGGGGGACCAUCCUCCAAGGCUAAAUACUCCUGACUGACCGAUAGUGAACCAGUACCGUGAGGGAAAGGCGAAAAGAACCCCGGCGAGGGGAGUGAAAAAGAACCUGAAACCGUGUACGUACAAGCAGUGGGAGCACAGGUUUACCUGUGUGACUGCGUACCUUUUGUAUAAUGGGUCAGCGACUUAUAUUCUGUAGCAAGGUUAACCGAAUAGGGGAGCCGGAGGGAAACCGAGUCUUAAUUGGGCGUUAAGUUGCAGGGUAUAGACCCGAAACCCGGUGAUCUAGCCAUGGGCAGGUUGAAGGUUGGGUAACACUAACUGGAGGACCGAACCGACUAAUGUUGAAAAAUUAGCGGAUGACCUGUGGCUGGGGGUGAAAGGCCAAUCAAACCGGGAGAUAGCUGGUUCUCCCCGAAAGCUAUUUAGGUAGCGCCUCGUGAAUUCAUCUCCGGGGGUAGAGCACUGUUUCGGCUAGGGGGCCAUCCCGGCUUACCAACCCGAUGCAAACUGCGAAUACCGGAGAAUGUUAUCACGGGAGACACACGGCGGGUGCUAACGUCCGUCGUGAAGAGGGAAACAACCCAGACCGCCAGCUAAGGUCCCAAAGUCAUGGUUAAGUGGGAAACGAUGUGGGAAGGCCCAGACAGCCAGGAUGUUGGCUUAGAAGCAGCCAUCAUUUAAAGAAAGCGUAAUAGCUCACUGGUCGAGUCGGCCUGCGCGGAAGAUGUAACGGGGCUAAACCAU